rnacentral:misc_RNA from 1 species
AUUCGCUAUAAGGUGCACUGCGCGUUUUAGAAUUCACUAGGAAAUCCACAAUCGCCUUCUCAGAAAAUAAAAGCCCUAGGCAAUAAAACCCCACAAAUUCCUCUUUUACUUCCUUUAAAAAUCGUCUCUCUUUUGGGUCUCUCAAAUCUCCUGUAGCAAAUAAUAUUUAUAUUUAUCUCUCCAUACUCCAAUUCUCUCCCUGCCUCUCUCCCUCUAAAUUUUGGCUUUGGAUCGCUUUCUUCUAUCUCCUUCUAGCACAGAUCUUUUGAUUCUCUUCCACUUCAGGUCUACUCACUAAUUUUCUCCAAAGAAGAUUGUGCUUUUGCUACAUAUUCAAUGGCUACUUCUGUGGAUAUGUCUCUUGAUGACAUUAUAAAGAAGAACCGAGAGAGAGGUAGAGGACGUGGUAGGCCUCGUCGCGGCCGUGGCCCAGGUGGGCCUUUCAAUGGUGGAAGAAUGGCUGGAGCA